GAUGAAGAACGUAGCAAAAUGCGAUAAGUAAUGUGAAUUGCAGAAUUCAGUGAAUCAUCGAAUCUUUGAACGCACAUUGCGCCCGCUGGUAUUCCGGCGGGCAUGCCUGUUCGAGCGUCAUUUCAACCCUCAAGCCCCCGGGUUUGGUGUUGGGGAUCGGCUCUGCCCUUCUGGGCGGUGCCGCCCCCGAAAUACAUUGGCGGUCUCGCUGCAGCCUCCAUUGCGUAGUAGCUAACACCUCGCAACUGGAACGCGGCGCGGCCAUGCCGUAAAACCCCAACUUCUGAAUGUUGACCUCGGAUCAGGCAGGAAUACCCGCUGAACUUAAGCAUAUCAAUAAGCGGAGGA
rnacentral:misc_RNA from 1 species